UGCAGUCGAACGAGACCUUCGGGUCUAGUGGCGCACGGGUGAGUAACGCGUGGAAACCUACCAUUCUGUACGGAAUAACGAUUGGAAACGAUCGCUAAUACCGUAUACGCCCUGUGGGGGAAAGGUCCGCCGCAGAAUGAGGGGUCCGCGUCCGAUUAGCUUGUUGGUGGGGUAAAAGCCUACCAAGGCGAUGAUCGGUAGCUGGUCUGAGAGGAUGAUCAGCCACACUGGGACUGAGACACGGCCCAGACUCCUACGGGAGGCAGCAGUGGGGAAUAUUGGACAAUGGGGGCAACCCUGAUCCAGCAAUGCCGCGUGUGUGAAGAAGGCCUUAGGGUUGUAAAGCACUUUCAAUGGUGAAGAUGAUGACGGUAGCCGUAAAAGAAGCCCCGGCUAACUUCGUGCCAGCAGCCGCGGUAAUACGAAGGGGGCGAGCGUUGGUCGGAAUUACUGGGCGUAAAGGGCGCGCAGGCGGCCAAUCCAGUCAGGUGUGAAAGCCCCGGGCUUAACCUGGGAACUGCACUUGAUACUGAAUUGGCUAGAAAACGGAAGAGGGCAGUGGAAUUCUCCCGUGUGAGAGGUGAAAUUCUGUAGAUAUUGGGAAAAAACACCCAGUGGCGAAAGCGGGCUGCCUGGGUCCGAUUUUUGACGCUGAGAGCGCGAAAGCGUGGGUAGCAAACAGGAUUAGAUACCCUGGGUAGUCCACGCC
rnacentral:rRNA from 1 species